CUACAACAACCAGGUAUCUUCACCUUCGUCCACGAACACCAACUGAUUUCCACCGUCGACGAUAAACUCAGUCCACAGCAACAAUAUUCUCUGUGAAACUUUGUGAAAAAGGAAGUUGUGAAAAUUACGAAAAAGAUGAGACGAGAGAAUGUUGGUGUUUGUCAUGAUUGUAGAAGCACAGAGCACUUUUUCAAUGACUAUCCAAUAAAACGAGGAUGUCCAUGGUGUCUACUGGAUGGGAGAAAUGUUUUGAAGUUGAGAGGAAGACUAAUAACGAAGGGCGAUUAUUCAAAACUUGCAGUAAAAUUUGUUAUAUUUCCCUUGGGCCAAGACGGAAGAAUCAUGUGGUGAAUCAAAUACAAGGAAUGAAGCAGUGGAUCCCAAAUUGUGAAAAAAACUUUCUAACAGUCAUUAACUUGCUGUAUUUUAUCAUUUUUCUGCUAUUUCUCUCAAAUUGUGGAGUCCAGUCAACCAUUUUGACACUUGUAAUAUGAAAAAACUUACUAACAGUCAUUAACUUGUAGAUGGAUACUAAAAUUUUGGUUGCUAUUAAUUCUUUGUUGCUUAAA